GAGCCUGCUUGGCCGGGAUCAGUACUGCUAAUUCUUGGUUCCCAUGGUUCAAUUCCAUGGCCCGCUCA
rnacentral:tRNA from 1 species